GGGCAGUGUACUGAAAAAGUGAGCGUGAGCGCCAGCCUAGGGCAACACGCACAUCUGGGCAACCGUGAGCACGGCAAACGGCGGGGUGUGCGCUCCCAGCGCUCCAGUUAUGCAAGACUCCUUGAGCUUCCAGAGCUGUCUUGUGCCCACGAGAAAGAUGCCGAGAGAACCACAGAGAUCCUGGCCUGACGUCAGGGGACUACAGAACUAACCCCGAUAGCUGCCCCCCUCUGGACGUCCUGUUCUGUGUCAAAAAUAAAGGCCUGCUCGUUGAA